rnacentral:rRNA from 1 species
AAGUGUCUUCGGAUUGUAAACCUCUUUCAGCAGUGGACGAAGCGAAAGUGACGGUACCUGCAGAAGAAGCACCGGCUAACUACGUGCCAGCAGCCGCGGUAAUA